UACGAGGGGGGCGAGCGUUGUUCGGAAUCACUGGGCGUAAAGAGUGCGUAGGCGGCCAUGAAAGUUAGAAGUGAAAGCCCAGGGCUUAACCCUGGAAUUGCUUUUAAAACUACAUGGCUCGAAUUCGGGAGAGGAUAGCGGAAUUCUCAGUGUAGCAGUGAAAUGCGUAGAUAUUGAGAGGAACACCAGUGGCGUAAGCGGCUAUCUGGACCGACAUUGACGCUGAGGCACGAAAGCGUGGGGAUCAAACAGG
rnacentral:rRNA from 1 species